rnacentral:tRNA from 1 species
UUAGCUCAGUUGGCAGAGCGCUCCACUAGGAAUGGAGAGGUUUCUGGUUCGAUACCAGGA